rnacentral:rRNA from 1 species
UACGGGGGGAGCAAGCGUUGUUCGGAUUUACUGGGCGUAAAGGGCGCGUAGGCGGCGUAACAAGUCACUUGUGAAAUCUCCGGGCUUAACCCGGAGCGGCCAAGUGAUACUGUUGUGCUAGAGUGCGGAAGGGGCUACUGGAAUUCUCGGUGUAGCGGUGAAAUGCGUAGAUAUCGAGAGGAACACCUGCGGCGAAGGCGGGUAGCUGGGCCGACACUGACGCUGAGGCGCGAAAGCUAGGGGAGCGAACGGG